rnacentral:rRNA from 1 species
GACGAACGCUGGCGGCGUGCUUAACACAUGCAAGUCGAACGGUGAAGCGCCUUCCUUUUUGGUGGGUGUGGAUGAGUGGCGAACGGGUGAGUAACACGUGAGUAACCUGCCCCCUUCUUCUGGAUAACCGCAUGAAAGUGUGGCUAAUACGGGAUAUUCUGGGUCUGUCGCAUGAUGGGUCUGGGAAAGAUAUUGUUUCGGUGGGGGAUGGGCUCGCGGCCUAUCAGCUUGUUGGUGGGGUGAUGGCCUACCAAGGCGGUGACGGGUAGCCGGCCUGAGAGGGUGGACGGUCACACUGGGACUGAGACACGGCCCAGACUCCUACGGGAGGCAGCAGGGGGGAAUAUUGCACAAUGGGCGCAAGCCUGAUGCAGCGACGCCGCGGGAGGGAUGGAGGCCUGCGGGUUGUGAACCUCUUUCGCCAGUGAAGCAGGCCUGCCUCGUUUGUGGGUGGGUUGACGGUAGCUGGAUAAGAAGCGCCGGCUAACUACGUG